AGCGGCAAUAGCUCAAAUUUGAAAGCUGGCCCCUUCGGGGUCCGCGUUGUAAUUUGUAGAGGAUGAUUCGGCGAGGGCUCCCGUCUAAGUCCCUUGGAACAGGGCGUCAUAGAGGGUGAGAAUCCCGUAUGUGAUGGGCUGCCUUAGCCAUGUGAAUCUCCUUCGACGAGUCGAGUUGUUUGGGAAUGCAGCUCUAAAUGGGAGGUAAAUUUCUUCUAAAGCUAAAUACCGGCCAGAGACCGAUAGCGCACAAGUAGAGUGAUCGAAAGAUGAAAAGCACUUUGGAAAGAGAGUUAAAAAGUACGUGAAAUUGUUGAAAGGGAAGCGCUUGCAGCCAGACUUGUCCGCAGUUGCUCAGCCUGUCUCCUGACAGGCGUACUCUUCUGCGGCCAGGCCAGCAUCAGUUCGGGCGGUCGGAUAAAGACCCGGGGAAUGUAGCUCCUCUCGGGGAGUGUUAUAGCCCUGGGUGCAAUGCGGCCAGCCUGGACUGAGGAUCUCGCUUCGGCUAGGAUGCUGGCGUAAUGGCUGUAAGCGGCCCGUCUUGAAACACGGACCAAGGAGUCUAACAUCUAUGCGAGUGUUUGGGUGUCAAACCCAUGCGCGUAAUGAAAGUGAACGGAGGUGGGAACCCUCACGGGUGCACCAUCGACCGAUCCUGAUGUCUUCGGAUGGAUUUGAGUAAGAGCAUAGCUGUUGGGACCCGAAAGAUGGUGAACUAUGCCUGAAUAGGGUGAAGCCAGAGGAAACUCUGGUGGAGGCUCGCAGCGGUUCUGACGUGCAAAUCGAUCGUCAAAUUUGGGUAUAGGGGCGAAAGACUAAUCG
rnacentral:rRNA from 1 species